UACGUAGGGGGCGAGCGUUGCCCGGAUUCAUUGGGCGUAAAGGGCGCGUAGGCGGAACUUCAAGUCCGGUCUGAAAGCCCCCGGCUCAACCGGGGAGGGUGGCUGGAAACUGGGGUUCUUGAGGGCGAGAGAGGAGGGUGGAAUUCCUGGUGUAGCGGUGAAAUGCGUAGAGAUCAGGAGGAACACCCGGGGCGAAGGCGGCCCUCUGGCUCGACCCUGACGCUGAGGCGCGAAAGCGUGGGGAGCGAACGGG
rnacentral:rRNA from 1 species